ncrna:unclassified sequences S15-Flavobacteria ribosomal protein leader
UACUUUUGCACUCGAAUAGGAAAAACUUAUUCGAUACAUAAUAAUCAUUAAACAAUAUUAGCAUG